AUAAUUGACGUACUAGAUAGUAAAGUUCGCAGUCAUAGAAAGUAUUUAUCCUUUGGGAUGACAUUCAGAAUUAGAAAAGCAAGCAUAUUGUUCUAGUAGAAUCACUACGAACCACAAGGAGUAUAUGAUAGCUAUAAGCUGAGAAUGACACCCGGAAGUUCGAAAUUUCGAGGACGAAAUUUUUUUAAGGAGGAAGGGUUGUAAAACCCCGAAUUUUCCUUAAUAUGAUUUUAGAAGAAUGAUUGAGUUUAGAAAUACAUCGAUUCGCACCCCGGAGAAAAAUUGUUUUAAUUCCAACAAUUAUUGGUUGAAGUUUAAAGCAAAUUGAGCUUAAUUAUAUAGAUUGUUUUUUUUUAAUCAUUUGAAAUAGCAUAUUGAUCCAUUUUGAAUUUUUUUAGCUUGAGCCCAAUAGCUGAUAGCCCAGUAUAAUUAAUUGUAAUUGAUUCCCGGUGGUGAUUUCUGCUUCAGCCACGCUUCUUCAUUUCAUCAGCCACACAUUGGUGAUUUCUGCUUCAGCCACGCUUCUUCAUUUCAUCAGCCACACAUUUAUGCUUCGUAUUAACCCAGUAUAUAUAUAUCUCAUCUACUUCACUGCAUUUACCCAACAAAUCCAACAAAAAUUCAGUCUUUUAUAAUUCAUCCUGGUUCUUCCAAUUGCAGAAAUCUCAAUCGGUCCUACAGACGAGGAUAUUUAGGCUCUUGAUCAGCUGAGUUAUAGUGUUUGGAUUUUCUCCAAAUCAGAUUGAGCAGCUGGUGGUGACGUGCGAGGCUGAGGAAGGGUUAUUGCUAUGGAUUUUGAAGAAAUGCUAUGUUUACUUCCGCUGAAAUAAAUUCACUUAGUGAAUAUUAUCUGAUGCCUAACUAUAUUAAUACUUUUAUUCAUAUUUCUAAUAUGAAUUUCAUUCUCCAUCA